rnacentral:lncRNA from 1 species
UCCUUUAGCAAAAUUACUUUACAAUACUUAUUUCACAUAAUUUGCUUACCUUCUACCAAAAGGGCAUAAGCAAAUUCAAGCAUCUAUAUGAUUAGAUCGAUCAACAGCAAUGAUCAUGUUGGAUGCAUAUCAAAUGAUAUAGUCUUAUCGUAGUCAUAGCAAGAUGAGCAUCUGAAUCAGCUGUUAUAUUACUUUCUCCACAAGCAUGCCUGAAAACUAGCAGUGCAAACUUCACAUGGCUGUAGCUAUUGUUAAUCCAGGUCCACCAACAACCAAAGUCCUCCAGUAAUGGCGCACAGCAGAUGGAGAGUUGAUUUUCAGUGUUUCCUGCUAUGAAGGUUCUAACUGUAUCUACUUCGUGCAUCAUUUUUGAGAUGUUAGCCAUUUGAAAUAUCUUGGUCUUUGAAACCUAGAGAUUCAUAAACAAACUCAAUCCCUGAUUGAAUGAAAUGGCUGUAAAACUUGUUGCAUCGGGAACACCCUUUGGUGAAGAUUUUAUAGCUUGAAGAUUGGUAUCAACAUUUAGAGGAUCCAAACCUGAUAUACAAGAAGAAAGUUAUAGGCUAUCCAUGUUUCUUUUAGGCCCCCUUUUGAAUAAUGUUUCAUUUAAGAUCGACAAGGUAUCUUAUAUCAAAUUCAUUUCCAUUACUUACUAUUCUCUUGUACCGGAUAUUUUAAAUUACAUUGCUCCUCCCAAUG